rnacentral:rRNA from 1 species
UUGCACUUUGCUGACGAGUGGCGGACGGGUGAGUAAUGCUUGGGAACUUGCCUUUGCGAGGGGGAUAACAGUUGGAAACGACUGCUAAUACCGCAUAAUGUCUACGGACCAAACGGGGCUUAGGCUUCGGCGCAGAGAGAGGCCCAAGUGAGAUUAGCUAGUUGGUGGGGUAAAGGCUCACCAAGGCGACGAUCUCUAGCUGUUCUGAGAGGAAGAUCAGCCACACUGGGACUGAGACACGGCCCAGACUCCUACGGGAGGCAGCAGUGGGGAAUAUUGCACAAUGGGGGGAACCCUGAUGCAGCCAUGCCGCGUGUGUGAAGAAGGCCUUCGGGUUGUAAAGCACUUUCAGUUGUGAGGAAAAGUGAGUAGUUAAUACCUGCUCACCGUGACGUUAACAACAGAAGAAGCACCGGCUAACUCCGUGCCAGCAGCCGCGGUAAUACGGAGGGUGCGAGCGUUAAUCGGAAUUACUGGGCGUAAAGCGCACGCAGGCGGUUUGUUAAGCUAGAUGUGAAAGCCCCGAGCUCAACUUGGGAUGGUCAUUUAGAACUGGCAGACUAGAGUCUUGGAGAGGGGAGUGGAAUUCCAGGUGUAGCGGUGAAAUGCGUAGAUAUCUGGAGGAACAUCAGUGGCGAAGGCGACUCCCUGGCCAAAGACUGACGCUCAUGUGCGAAAGUGUGGGUAGCGAACAGGAUUAGAUACCCUGGUAGUCCACACCGUAAACGCUGUCUACUAGCUGUUUGUGACUUUAAGUCGUGAGUAGCGAAGCUAACGCGAUAAGUAGACCGCCUGGGGGAGUACGGCCGCAAGGUUAAAACUCAAAUGAAUUGACGGGGGCCCGCACAAGCGGUGGAGCAUGUGGUUUAAUUCGAUGCAACGCGAAGAACCUUACCUACACUUGACAUGCAGAGAACUUUCUAGAAGAUAGAUUGGUGCCUUCGGGAACUCUGACACAGGUGCUGCAUGGCUGUCGUCAGCUCGUGUCGUGAAAAGGUUGGGUUAAGUCCCGCAACGAGCGCAACCCUUGUCCUUAGUUGCCAGCAUUCAGUUGGGCACUCUAAGG